ensembl:lncRNA
AGAGGGAGAUGAGAGAGUCAGGGAGAGAGAUUUGAAGGUGCUACACUGCUGAUUUUGAAGAUGGAGGAAGAGGUCAUGAGCCAAGAUACACAGGCUGCCUGUAGAAGGUCAAGAAGACAAGUAAAUGAUUGUUUGCAAGAGCCUGUAGAAGGAAAGCAGUUGGGCCAACACCUUGAUUUCAACCCAGUGCAACCUGUUUUGGAUUUCUGCUCUUCCGAACAGUAAGAUGAUAGAUGGUUUUGUGUACAUUACCUUUGUUCGACUUAGAGGCGUGCAGGGUCAACGGAUGCUCACCUUUACAACAUAUACUCUAACCAGGAGCUUGAUGGGCCGGUUCUGUGGGAUUCCCCGGGAGAUCUGGGGCUCAGAGAAGGACACUGCCUCUGAUUCUGGGGAGGUGUUGUAAAUCUGAAAGGCAAGGGCCUCAGUGACAGCCUGAUGUCUCAGAAUGGGAGCAAAAUUCCCUCUCCCAAGACCCAGUUACCUUGAGAGUGGGGCCACAGAUCUGAUCCCUAGUCCGGGAAGAUCCCACGUGCCGUGGAGCAACUAAGCCCGUGCACCACAACCACUGAGCCUGCGCUCUAGAGCCUGCAAGUCACAACUACUGAGCCCCCACACUGCAACUACUGAAGUCCAUGUGCCUAGAGCCCGUGCUCCACAAGAGGAGCCACCAGGAUGAGAAGCCCGUGCUCCACAAGAGAAGCCACCAGGAUGAGAAGCCCGUGCUCCACGAGAGAAGCCACCAGGAUGAGAAGCCCGUGCUCCACGAGAAAGAGGAGCCCCCAGAAACUAGAGAAAGCCUUGCACACAGCAACG